GGCGGCGUGGCUCAGGAGGUAGAGUGGGUGGUUCAGGAAUCAGUAGGUUCCUGGUUUGAUCCCCAGCUCCUCCA